rnacentral:rRNA from 1 species
AACGAACGCUGGCGGCAGGCUUAACACAUGCAAGUCGAGCGCCCCGCAAGGGGAGCGGCAGACGGGUGAGUAACGCGUGGGAAUCUACCCAUCUCUACGGAAUAACGCAUGGAAACGUGUGCUAAUACCGUAUACGUCCUUCGGAAGAAAGAUUUAUCGGAGAUGGAUGAGCCCGCGUUGGAUUAGCUAGUUGGUGGGGUAAAGGCCUACCAAGGCGACGAUCCAUAGCUGGUCUGAGAGGAUGAUCAGCCACACUGGGACUGAGACACGGCCCAGACUCCUACGGGAGGCAGCAGUGGGGAAUAUUGGACAAUGGGCGCAAGCCUGAUCCAGCCAUGCCGCGUGAGUGAUGAAGGCCCUAGGGUUGUAAAGCUCUUUCACCGGUGAAGAUAAUGACGGUAACCGGAGAAGAAGCCCCGGCUAACUUCGUGCCAGCCGCCGCCGUAA